rnacentral:rRNA from 1 species
GACGUAGGUGGCGAACGUUAUCCGGAAUUAUUGGGCGUAAAGGAUGCGUAGAUGGUGUAGUAAGUUAUCGGUGGCAAAUCGAGGCUCAACCUCGUGGAAGUCGGUAAUACUGCUAUGCUAGAGGAUAGGAGAGGUUAACGGAACUCCCUGUGGAGCGGUGAAAUGCGUAGAUAUAGGGAAGAACACCAAUAAGGCGAAGGCAGUUAACUAUUCUAUUCCUGACAUUUGAGGCAUGAAAGCGUGGGGAGCAAAACGGG